rfam:Ictidomys tridecemlineatus contig031622, whole genome shotgun sequence.
GGGGGUGUAGCUCAGUGGUAGAGUGCUUGCCUAGCAUGCAUGAGGCCCUGAGUUCAUAUUCCCAGCAUUACCA